AUCAGGGCUGCCAACUCUCACGCUUUCGGCGUGAGACUCACGCCCUGGAGCAAUUUCUCAUGCCCUCACGCUCACGACCGAGUUCUCACGCUGAGUUCAGUUUCUGUGGUUGAAUGA